AUUGAACGCUGGCGGCGUGCUUAACACAUGCAAGUCGAUCGGUAACAGGUGUAGCAAUACAUGCUGACGAGAGGCGGACGGGUGAGUAAUGCUUGGGAAUCUGCCUAUUAGUGGGGGACAACCCGGGGAAACUCGGGCUAAUACCGCAUACGCUCUACGGAGGAAAGCCGGGGACCGCAAGGCCUGGCGCUAAUAGAUGAGCCCAAGUCGGAUUAGCUAGUUGGUAGGGAACGGCCUACCAAGGCGACAAUCCGUAGCUGGUCUGAGAGGACGACCAGCCACACCGGAACUGAGACACGGUCCGGACUCCUACGGGAGGCAGCAGUAAGGAAUAUUGCGCAAUGGGCGAAAGCCUGACGCAGCGACGCCGCGUGGGGAUGAAGGU
rnacentral:rRNA from 1 species